rnacentral:misc_RNA from 1 species
GAUGAAGAACGUAGCGAAAUGCGAUAAGUAAUGUGAAUUGCAGAAUUCAGUGAAUCAUCGAAUCUUUGAACGCACAUUGCGCCCGUCAGUAUUCUGGCGGGCAAGCCUGUUCGAGCGUCAUUACGCCCCUCAAGUCCCCUGUGGACUUGGUGUUGGGGAUCGGCGAGGCUGGUUUUCCAGCACAGCCGUCCCUUAAAUUAAUUGGCGGUCUCGCCGUGGCCCUCCUCUGCGCAGUAGUAAAACACUCGCAACAGGAGCCCGGCGCGGUCCACUGCCGUAAAACCCCCCAACUUUUUAUAGUUGACCUCGAAUCAGGUAGGACUACCCGCUGAACUUAAGCAUAUCAAUAAGCGGAGGA